CUCUUAUUCCGAGUAGGCAGAGGGACAGGCCCGAUGAAGCCCAGCAACCGGUCGCAUACGGCACGGUGCUAACCUGCAGAAUAACGAGGAUGAUCUUCUCGUUAUUCUGAUAAUAAGAG
rnacentral:ncRNA from 2 species